CAUCGAGUUGGCAACAUUAAUAAAAUGUACCUGUUGAGACAUGUUAGCAACUGUGUUGACAACCAAAAACCAUCAGCACAUCACGGUAGAUUGUUCUUUUCCUGCAGAGACGCCGAACUGAAGACAGUGAGUGAGUGUGUCUGAAUUAAUCGGCGUGUGAAAGCCAGCACAGACUGACCAAUCAGAAAGACCCCUUGAUGAUGACGCAAUUUUGAAACGCAGGCCGCGAGAGGUAAAUUACUGAACAUAUAAAAAAUGAGGAUCAAGAAAGGACGAUGAAACCUCUAAGCAAGUGCUCAUGAAUGCUGAAGAGUGUGUGACACAACAUUUUAUGUUACUAUACACACAAGCAGAUGUUCUGAUUCUUAUCUUGUACAAUAAACAAAAACACUCCCUGUUUUGUAUAAUC